AAAGACCAUCAUUAUAUUACCUUCUUGGCAUUUGCAGUACAGGUUAUUUAUAUACGAUCUCAAAAGUCAAAACCCUGGCUUUCUGGGCUCCAAGAGACACUACAAGCAAGUCCAACAAGAGUAAUGGUUAAGAGCUGGUGUACUCUCCUGUCUUAUUAGAGUCUCACUUCCUUUGGGCCAUGUA